CUAUUCUAUCUAAUAGUAAGAUAUAUCGUGAUCUCCAUCAUAGUAUCAUCGAAACUCUUUUCGAUGGACUGAAACGAUUCCAGCUCACCUCAACAAAGAUCAUUGAUCCAAAAACGAUCUUUGUGGGUUCUCACGAUCCACCAGUGAUAUCUAGCAACAUGUAGUGGCAACCUAGUAGAAUAGAAAAAUGAAUCUCUAGGUGCAGUUAUCGUGUGAUAUAAUCCCUCUAUCGUGAGUCCCAACUUGAUAGAGAUCAUGGAGAACUCGUCAAACUCCAUCGUCAGUCAUAUGCUAGAUUGGCUCAACUCGAGUUCAUUUGUGAAUCUUGUGAAAACUCUUUUUCAGUAUUCACACUUACUCUGAUCAGAAAUUUUCUGAACUCAGUCUUAUGAAUCACAUAGGACUUCUUCUUUUCUAUUA
rnacentral:lncRNA from 1 species